ACCAGACUCCUACGGGAGGCAGCAGUGGGGAAUAUUGCACAAUGGGGGAAACCCUGAUGCAGCAACGCCGCGUGAGUGAAGAAGUAUUUCGGUAUGUAAAGCUCUCUCAGCAGGGAAGAAAAUGACGGUACCUGAGUAAGAAGCCCCGGCUAACUACGUGCCAGCAGCCGCGGUAGUACGUAGGGGGCAAGCGUUAUCCGGAUUUACUGGGUGUAAAGGGAGCGUAGACGGCGAUACAAGUCUGAAGUGAAAGCCCGGGGCUCAACCCCGGGACUGCUUUGGAAACUGUGUUGCUGGAGUGCUGGAGAGGCAAGCGGAAUUUCUAGUGUAGCGGUGAAAUGCGUAGAUAUUAGGAGGAACACCAGUGGCGAAGGCGGCUUACUGGACUGUAACUGACGUUGAGGCUCGAAAGCGUGGGGAGCAAACAGGAUUAGAUACCCCGGUAAG
rnacentral:rRNA from 1 species